UACGAAGGGUGCAAGCGUUACUCGGAAUUACUGGGCGUAAAGCGUGCGUAGGUGGUGAGUUAAGUCUGUCGUGAAAGCCCCGGGCUCAACCUGGGAAUGGCGAUGGAUACUGGCUCGCUAGAGUGCGGUAGAGGAGAGUGGAAUUCCCGGUGUAGCAGUGAAAUGCGUAGAGAUCGGAAAGAACACUCGUGGCGAAGGCGACUUCCUGGCCAAAGACUGACGCUGAGGUGCGAAAGCGUGGGUAGCAAACAGG
rnacentral:rRNA from 1 species